GAUGAACGCUAGCUACAGGCUUAACACAUGCAAGUCGAGGGGAAACGACAUCGAAAGCUUGCUUUUGAUGGGCGUCGACCGGCGCACGGGUGAGUAACGCGUAUCCAACCUGCCCACCACUUGGGGAUAACCUUGCGAAAGUAAGACUAAUACCCAAUGAUAUCCCACGAAGGCAUCCGAAUGGGAUUAAAGAUUUAUCGGUGAUGGAUGGGGAUGCGUCUGAUUAGCUUGUUGGCGGGGUAACGGCCCACCAAGGCUACGAUCAGUAGGGGUUCUGAGAGGAAGGUCCCCCCACAUUGGAACUGAGACACGGUCCAAAACUCCUACGGGAGGCAGCAGUGAGGAAUAUUGGUCAAUGGACGGGAGUCUGAACCAGCCAAGUAGCGUGCAGGAUGACGGCCCUAUGGGUUGUAAACUGCUUUUGUGCGGGGAUAAAGUGUGGGACGCGUCCCAUAUUGCAGGUACCGCAUGAAUAAGGACCGGCUAAUCCGUG
rnacentral:rRNA from 1 species